rnacentral:rRNA from 1 species
CCUACGGGAGGCAGCAGUGGGGAAUACUGGACAAUGGGGGCAACUCUGAUCCAGCCAUGCCGCGUGUGUGAAGAAGGCCCUCGGGUUGUAAAGCACUUUCAGUGAGGAAGAACGCCUGGUGGUUAAUACCCAUCAGGAAAGACAUCACUCACAGAAGAAGCACCGGCUAACUCCGUGCCAGCAGCCGCGGUAAUACGGAGGGUGCGAGCGUUAAUCGGAAUUACUGGGCGUAAAGCGCGCGUAGGUGGCUUGAUAAGCCGGUUGUGAAAGCCCCGGGCUCAACCUGGGAACGGCAUCCGGAACUGUCAAGCUAGAGUGCAGGAGAGGAAGGUAGAAUUCGCGGUGUAGCGGUGAAAUGCGUAGAGAUCGGGAGGAAUACCAGUGGCGAAGGCGGCCUUCUGGACUGACACUGACACUGAGGUGCGAAAGCGUGGGUAGCAAACAGGAUUAGAUACCCGUGUAGUC